AGAGUUUGAUCAUGGCUCAGAACGAACGCUGGCGGCGUGGAUAAGACAUGCAAGUCGAGCGCUGGCCACGGGGUAGCAAUAUCCCGUGGUUGGAGCGGCGCAAGGGUGCGUAACACGUGGGUAAUCUGCCAUGAAGUUUGGGAUAACUUGCUGAAAGGCGAGCUAAUACCGGAUGUGACAGCUUGGAGGCCUCUUCGAGCUGUCAAAGCUGGGGACCGUAAGGCCUGGCGCUUCAUGAUGAGCCCGCGGCCUAUCAGCUAGUUGGUGAGGUAACGGCUCACCAAGGCUAAGACGGGUAGCUGGUCUGAGAGGACGACCAGCCACACUGGAACUGAGACACGGUCCAGACACCUACGGGUGGCAGCAGUCGAGAAUUUUUCACAAUGGGCGCAAGCCUGAUGGAGCGACGCCGCGUGGGGGAUGAAUGGCUUCGGCCCGUAAACCCCUGUCAUCUGGGAACAAGUCGCGUUAUUUAAAAGAUGACGCGUUGAUAGUACCGGAAGAGGAAGGGACGGCUAACUCUGUGCCAGCAGCCGCGGUAAUACAGAGGUCCCGAGCGUUGUUCGGAUUCACUGGGCGUAAAGGGUGCGUAGGUGGCGAGGUAAGUCGGAUGUGAAAGCUCGGAGCUCAACUCCGAAAUGGCAUUGGAAACUACCUUGCUCGAGGGUCGGAGGGGGGACUGGAAUUCUCGGUGUAGCAGUGAAAUGCGUAGAUAUCGAGAGGAACACCAGUGGCGAAGGCGAGUCCCUGGACGACUCCUGACACUGAGGCACGAAAGCUAGGGGAGCAAACAGGAUUAGAUACCCUAGUAGUCC
rnacentral:rRNA from 1 species